GUAGCACAGAGAGCUUGCUCUCGGGUGACGAGUGGCGGACGGGUGAGUAAUGUCUGGGAAACUGCCUGAUGGAGGGGGAUAACUACUGGAAACGGUAGCUAAUACCGCACAACGUCGCAAGACCAAAGAGGGGGACCUUCGGGCCUCUUGCCAUCAGAUGUGCCCAGAUGGGAUUAGCUAGUAGGUGGGGUAACGGCCCACCUAGGCGACGAUCCCUAGCUGGUCUGAGAGGAUGACCAGCCACACUGGAACUGAGACACGGUCCAGACUCCUACGGGAGGCAGCAGUGGGGAAUAUUGCACAAUGGGCGCAAGCCUGAUGCAGCCAUGCCGCGUGUAUGAAGAAGGCCUUCGGGUUGUAAAGUACUUUCAGCGGGGAGGAAGGUGUUGCGGUUAAUAACCGCAGCAAUUGACGUUACCCGCAGAAGAAGCACCGGCUAACUCCGUGCCAGCAGCCGCGGUAAUACGGAGGGUGCAAGCGUUAAUCGGAAUUACUGGGCGUAAAGCGCACGCAGGCGGUCUGUCAAGUCGGAUGUGAAAUCCCCGGGCUCAACCUGGGAACUGCAUUCGAAACUGGCAGGCUAGAGUCUUGUAGAGGGGGGUAGAAUUCCAGGUGUAGCGGUGAAAUGCGUAGAGAUCUGGAGGAAUACCGGUGGCGAAGGCGGCCCCCUGGACAAAGACUGAC
rnacentral:rRNA from 1 species